rnacentral:pre_miRNA from 1 species
AACUGAGUCAUUGGGAGGUCUUGUUAAAAUGCAGUUUCUGAUUCAGUAGGUCUGGGGGUAGAGCCUACAGAUCUGCCUUUCUAACAGACUUCUAGAUGAUGCCACA